CCUCAUCGUCUCUUUCAACUUUCCCACUCAGAGAACAUAAACCUUAAUAGCCGCCACCCAUUCCCACCGUCCUCCGGUGGAGGUGUCGGCUCCGAUCCUCACCAAAAUUAUACCACGGGACCUCCACGAACCCCUCUUCCUAGAUCCCAUAUCCGUUUCCCUCAAACACCCUUGAAUCCUAUCGAAUCUGGAUUUGAAGACGAACCCUAGAAAUUCCAAAAUCCUAAAUCGAGUGUUCGUUGAAUUUUUCCAGUCUAAAUUGAUUUUAUUCGUGUGUUCUUGUUAAGAACACAUGAUUAACUUCAAAAUCGGCCAGAACUCGGAUGAUUUGAAGACCCAGUCUCCCUCUUUCAUUUCCCAAACCUCUUCGUGGGUACUUUCUUUUCUUUCUUCGGUUUAAUCUUUUCUUCAUUUGUUUUUCUGUUUUCAGCUUCUUCCCGUGCUUUUGAAAAUCUUAGUUUUCUAAUUUCAGAGUGUUAAUUACAUGCGCGUUAGUUUUUUUGUUAAUAAGUUUUCUUUUAUUUAAGCAGUUUAAGAAUUUGUUGAUAAUUUAGUUCAAAUUUCAUUAAGUGCUUAGUUGCAUCAAUUAGAAUAAGUAGAAAUUUUGCCCGAAUUGUUUAUGUUUCUGUGGAUUUCAUUCAGAGUUGGGGUUUGUUAGUAAAUACUGAAUUGGGUUGGUUUCAUGUUGGGUUUGGAAGCUCAAAGAAAGAGGUCAGUCUAGUUUAGGGUUAAAUGUUGGGUCAACUUGACCCAUGAGCUGAAAGGUAGCUAGUUAACCAAGGUAAUAAUAGGUUUAUUAAGGGGUAAAUUGGGAAACCUGGGUAGGGAAUCUUGUAUAACUGAACUAGGAAGCUUCCUAGAAGCUGGGGUAGGAGCUAUUUUGAAAUUCUGAGGUUUACACUAGGGAUUUCUAAGCUAAAAUGAAAAUUUCUGAAGGUUUUAAGUGCAAUUUUGAACUCUUUAAGGCUGCCCUACUUGCCUUGCCUAUAAAGACAACUUUUCUUGCCUUUCAAGGCAGAACUUAAGUGAUAAAAAAUUAGAGAAAUCAAAACGGCUGAGGAUCCAGAAAAAAUGCUAAAAAAAUUCAUUGUUCGAUAGAAUUUGAGUUUUUUUGUCUCUUUUCCCUUAAUUUCUGAAACACGAUAGAAGUUCUGAGAGUGAUAAAAAUCACGAAAAGAAAGCAGCUAAGAGUUUUGGUAUUGUUCCAUUGAAUCAUCUUUUCAUUCCUUAACCAAUUUCUGGAGUUUUGAGUUCUGAACACAUUUCUGGUUUUAUUUUGAGAAUCAUAUGGAGUAAUUUUGAGUUUUCGAAGAGUUUUGGUUCAAUUGGUUGAGUAUUGUUGCUUUGUUGAGUUUCUCGAGUUGGUUUCAUCAUUUUCCAUUAUUGAAUCUGGGUGGGGGGGUGUUGUUGUUGAUCUAUCCCUGCUGUUACUCUACUGAUCUUUCAAUAUUUCCUUUUCUGUUUCAAUCUUCAGGUACACAUCUUUGAUUUUAAGCAUGUAAGUCAUGGUUGAUGAAGUGUUUUUUUGAAGGAAAUGAAGAUUAUGAUGUUAUCUCUGCUUAGCUCCUUUCUUAGUGUGUUUUGAGUUUCAUAUUGAUACUGUAAUAGGAUUAUUAUGUAGUGUAUGCUGAGUCGUGUUUGUUUAAAUUCCUAGGUUCUAUUGUUAUUACAAAUGACCAUCACUUUUAAGACCCAUAAAUGUUAUCUUUAAAAUUCAGGUUGUUAGAAUGUUUGUUAAUCACAAUACUACUAUAGUAAAGUUUGAUCAUGUGUUCAGAAGUUGAAGUCCACCUUUGUCUUCUUCUGUUGGUCGUGUGAAAUGGUAGGGAUGAUUAAGAGUGGGAUCUCUUUGGCACUUUUUCUAGUCAUAUAAAGUUUCUAGACAUAAUUUCUUUGUUUAAUUAGGUGUGUGAUGAUUUAGGAUUAAUAUAUCUUGCUCCAUUUCUACACUCAAGUUGACUAUGUCGUCUGUUCUGAGCUUUCUCAGUAUAAUGCAAUAGCU
rnacentral:lncRNA from 1 species